rnacentral:lncRNA from 10 species
AGGAAAUCCAAGCUAAUUCCUGUGCCAAAGGCUGGCUUAAGAGAGGGCCCACAAUGCAAUUCUGGCCUGUCUUCCUCUGCUGGAUGUCACCUUAUUUGAACUGGACACUUAGAACCAUGACAGCCAUCUGUGUCUAUGAGGGAGUGAGCCAGAGAACCAAGCUGACAUGUUGAAUAUGGACUUCUUUAAGGGCAUGAUGGCAAACAUCCUCAUUGUAAUUCCUUUGGAUGGAUCAUUUUGUGUCAGGAAUUGGUGGGUUCUUGGUCUACUGACUUCAAGAAUGAAGCCGCGGACCCUCGUGGUGAGUGUUAUAGCUCUUAAGGUGGCGCCUCUGGAGUUUGUUCCUUCUGAUGUUUGGAUGUGUUCGGAGUUUCUUCCUUCUGGUGGGUUCGUAGUCUCGCUGGCUCAGGAGCGAAGCUGCAGACCUUCGCGGUGAGUGUUACAGCUCCUAAGGCGGCGCCUCUGGAGUUGCUGUUCCUCCCGAUGGGCUCGUGGUCUCGCUGGCUUCAGGAGUGAAGCUGCAGACCUUCGCGGUGAGUGUUACAGCUCAUAAAAGCAGUGUGGACCCAAAGAGUGAGCAGUAGCAAGAUUUAUUGCAAAGAGCGAAAGAACAAAGCUUCCACAGUGUGGAAGGGGACCCGAGCGGGUUGCCACUGCUGGUUCCGGCAGCCUGCU